AGCAUAUCAAUAAGCGGAGGAAAAGAAACCAACAGGGAUUGCCCUAGUAACGGCGAGUGAAGCGGCAACAGCUUCAAAUUUGAAAUCUGGCCCUAGGCCCGAGUUGUAAUUUGUAGAGGAUGCUUUUGGUGACGCGCCUACCGAGUCCCCUGGAAUGGGGCGCCACAGAGGGUGAGAGCCCCGUAUGGUUUGCCGCCGAGCCUCUGUAAAGCUCCUUCGACGAGUCGAGUAGUUUGGGAAUGCUGCUCUAAAUGGGAGGUAAAUUUCUUCUAAAGCUAAAUACCGGCCAGAGACCGAUAGCGCACAAGUAGAGUGAUCGAAAGAUGAAAAGCACUUUGAAAAGAGGGUUAAAUAGCACGUGAAAUUGUUGAAAGGGAAGCGCUUGUGACCAGACUCGCGCCGGGCGGAUCAUCCAGCGUUCUCGCUGGUGCACUCCGCCCGGCUCGGGCCAGCAUCGGUUUUCGCCGGGGGACAAAAGCUUCGGGAACGUGGCUCCCUUCGGGGAGUGUUAUAGCCCGUUGCAUAAUACCCCGGCGGGGACCGAGGACCGCGCUUCGGCAUGGAUGCUGGCGUAAUGGUCAUCAGCGACCCGUCUUGAAACACGGACCGAGGAGUCAAGCAUUAGUGCGAGUGUUUGGGUGUAAAACCCGCACGCGUAAUGAAAGUGAACGUAGGUGAGAGCUUCGGCGCAUCAUCGACCGAUCCUGAUGUUUUCGGAUGGAUUUGAGUAGGAGCAUUAACGCUUGGACCCGAAAGAUGGUGAACUAUACUUGAAUAGGGUGAAGCCAGAGGAAACUCUGGUGGAGGCUCGCAGCGGUUCUGACGUGCAAAUCGAUCGUCAAAUUUGAGUAUAGGGGCGAAAGACUAAUCGAACCAUCUAGUAGCUGGUUACCGCCGA
rnacentral:rRNA from 1 species